rnacentral:rRNA from 1 species
GACGAACGCUGGCGGCGUGCUUAACACAUGCAAGUCGAACGGAAAGGCCCUGCUUUUGUGGGGUGCUCGAGUGGCGAACGGGUGGGUAACGAGUGAGUACCCUGCCCUGGACUUUGGGAUAACUUCGGGAAACUGUGGCUAAUACCGUCUAGGAGCUCCUGCUGCAUUGUGGGGGUUGGAAAGUUUCGGCGGUUGGGGAUGGACGCGCGGCUUAUCAGCUUGGUGGUGGGGUAGUGGCUUACCAAAGCUUUGCCGGGUAGCCGGGCUGAGAGGGUGACCGGCUCAAUCGGGACGGAGCUACGGCCCAGACCAGUACGGGAGGCAGCAGUGGGGAGUAGUGCACAACGGGAGGAAGGCUGAUGCAGUAAAGCCGCGUGGGGUAUGAGGGCCUGCGGGUUGUAAACCGAUUUCGCUUGAGACGAAGCGUGAGUGACGGUAAUGGGUAAAGAAGCAACGGCUAACUACGUG